rnacentral:rRNA from 1 species
UCGGGAAUUUUGGGCAAUGGGCGAAAGCCUGACCCAGCAACGCCGCGUGAAGGAUGAAGUAUUUCGGUAUGUAAACUUCGUAAGAAUAGGAAGAAUAAAUGACGGUACUAUUUGUAAGGUCCGGCUAACUACGUGCCAGCAGCCGCGGUAAUACGUAGGGACCAAGCGUUGUUCGGAUUUACUGGGCGUAAAGGGCGCGUAGGCGGCGUGGUAAGUCAUCUGUGAAAUCUCCGAGCUUAACUCGGAACGGUCAGAUGAUACUGCUGUGCUAGAGUACAGAAAGGGCAAUCGGAAUUCUUGGUGUAGCGGUGAAAUGCGUAGAUAUCGGAAGGAACAUCGGUGGCGAAGGCGUCUACCUGGCCUAAUACUGACACUGAGGCACGAAAGCGUGGGGAGCAAACAGGAUUAGAUACCCACGUAGUCCCUGAGCGGGCUGGCAAGGCGCAU